rnacentral:rRNA from 1 species
AGGAUGAACGCUGGCGGCGUGCCUAAUACAUGCAAGUCGAGCGGUAAGGCCCCUUCGGGGGUACACGAGCGGCGGACGGCUGAGUAACACGUAGGAACGUACCCCAAACUGAGGGAUAAGCACCAGAAAUGGUGUCUAAUACCGCAUGUGAUCUUCGGAUUAAAGCUUCGGCGGUUUGGGAACGGCCUGCGCAUGAUUAGCUUGUUGGUGAGGUAAUGGCUCACCAAGGCGACGAUCAUUAGCUGGUCUGAGAGGAUGAUCAGCCAGACUGGAACUGAGAACGGUCCAGACUCCUACGGGAGGCAGCAGUAGGGAAUUUUCCACAAUGGACGAAAGUCUGAUGGAGCAACGCCGCGUGCAGGAUGAAGGCCCUCGGGUCGUAAACUGCUUUUAUAUGUGACGAUUAUGACGGUAGCAUAUGAAUAAGGAUCGGCUAACUCCGUGCCAGCAGCCGC